AGUGAACGCUGGCGGUAGGCCUAACACAUGCAAGUCGAACGGCAGCACAGUAAGAGCUUGCUCUUACGGGUGGCGAGUGGCGGACGGGUGAGGAAUACAUCGGAAUCUACUUUUUCGUGGGGGAUAACGUAGGGAAACUUACGCUAAUACCGCAUACGACCUACGGGUGAAAGCAGUGGAUCUUCGUACCUUGCGCGAUUGAAUGAGCCGAUGUCGGAUUAGCUAGUUGGCGGGGUAAAGGCCCACCAAGGCGACGAUCCGUAGCUGGUCUGAGAGGAUGAUCAGCCACACUGGAACUGAGACACGGUCCAGACUCCUACGGGAGGCAGCAGUGGGGAAUAUUGGACAAAGGGCGCAAGCCUGAUCCAGCCAUACCGCGUGGGUGAAGAAGGCCUUCGGGUUGUAAAGCCCUUUUGUUAGGAAAGAAAAGCAGCAGGUUAAUACCCCGCUGUUCUGACGGUACCCAAAGAAUAAGCACCGGCUAACUUCGUG
rnacentral:rRNA from 1 species